UACGAAGGGGGCUAGCGUUGUUCGGAAUCACUGGGCGUAAAGGGCGCGUAGGCGGCUUUGUAAGUCGGGGGUGAAAGCCUGUGGCUCAACCACAGAAUUGCCUUCGAUACUGCAUGGCUUGAGACCGGAAGAGGUAAGUGGAACUGCGAGUGUAGAGGUGAAAUUCGUAGAUAUUCGCAAGAACACCAGUGGCGAAGGCGGCUUACUGGUCCGGUUCUGACGCUGAGGCACGGAAAAGCGUGGGGGAGCAAACAGG
rnacentral:rRNA from 1 species